ensembl:lncRNA
CGGAGUGCGCCUCCCGCCUGUGAGCCCGGAUAGCUCAGUCGGGUAGAAGAGGCAGCCAGCGUCGCCGAAAUAGCUCAGUUGGGAGAGCGUUAGACUGAAGAUCUAAAGGUCCCUGGUUCAAUCCCGGGUUUCGGCAGGACUUUUGCUGAGUGGAUCUGGAGUUCUUUCCUUUCCUUCGUGUCUUCCCAAAGGCAAGCCACCACACACGGUGAAGAUGCCAAGAGCUUAAGCCUUUAAAGAAACCUGGACCCGGUCACACAGUCACUCCACUUAAACACUGUUGGAUGUUGGGGCGCAGCAUGUGGCCUGACUCUCAUUUAUAAUGCGGUCCGCUCAGGUCUACAGGUGGAAGGUCUUGGGUUUGAUGCCAAAUAUAAUCACGUUGGGCUUGCAAGUUUUUCUUAUCGGAGACAGACAUGAAGACAGUGUUCAAAACGUUGGUCUCUACAGCAGGACUGGCAAAUCAGGGUCCCACCAGUGUUAGAAGAAUGGUUGGCAUGGUUCCUGGCUGGAGAGGUGAUUUAUAAGCACGUGUCACGACCUAAAAUAUUUCUUGCAACCUCAGUUUUCUCACCUCUCUUCUCAUAAACAGCGCGUGAACUGUUGUUGCUCAGAGCGACUGUUUGCAAAUUUCCUGUCAGGAGCAUUACCAUCGUUACUCUAACGACAGGGAUGCAACUGUCUUGGUUAUGUGUUUACUGAUGUUUUGAAUAUAAACUAAUACUACAUACUAGUUGUAAGGUAAAAAUAUCCAAAGACCAAUAUCUAUCAUACAAAGGCUGUAAAAGACUGAGGUUGGGACAGAAAGUUACCGGGCACUUUCCUCCCCUUUCACUUUUUCUGCAAAACCCACACCAGUCUGGCCUGCCUGCUGGGUUGUAAACUCCGGACUGAAUCAAGUGUGUUUUGUACAACGUCACCUCAGAGAGUGGUGUGGACACAUUCAAUUUGUUUCAGGAGUUUAAAAUGACCACCGCCCGAGCAGGGACUUGAACCCUGGACCCUCAGAUUAAAAGUCUGAUGCUCUACCGACUGAGCUAUCCAGGCUCUCGAAAGUACCUUAUCUCCUAGUCUAUCCACAGAAAAUAGACUGUGCUGCCGUUCCUAUUGGAUUAAAAUUCUGAGUCUUUUUGUAGAUUUAGUGAGUGGUGAAACUGCAAAAUCAGGUUGGAGCAGGCGCUUGGUGGAAGUCUUUUCUGAUCCCAUCACAGACAGACUGUGAAGAAAACAAACCUAUCCAGGACCAAGACACGGUGGGCGUCCUCAGGGAGGCGGGAAGACGCACGAAAUAGACGUCAAGCGCUUGAGUGAAAAAAGUUCCUAUAUAUCUUGGGUCCUGCCUUACUUUCUUUAGAACAGUUCCUCAGAGCUACCUGCGAGUCUGCUUCACUGGCUAGUCUUCGAGUUUGCUCAAAUUCACGCCCACUGAGUGGUGGUGCUAGAUGACCAUCUCAUCCUCUGCCGCCCUCUUCCUGGGCCAGGAGAACUGGUAACAGUGGGAACAGAGCAGCCACAGAAGGCACGGCGUCUUCAGUUCCUCCCUGAAGGACACAGAUAGAUCUGAUGCACAUUCCUGAGGUGGUCUGCAGACGCUACAACCACCACCAGAGGGAAAAAGCUAGCUGUGCAGUGAGCAGACUGUAGCCCUGACACAAAUGACUCCAUCUGGAGCAGUACCAAAUCUGUGGCUUGCAUACUUCCAGAAAUUCGCCCCAAGAAAGUGGAACCAAACUGACCCUGGAGUUGAAGAUUAACUGUGAUUAAAACAAGACCAGUCCAGCCAGACCACAGCGUUACUCACUUCAAGAUGACCGGCAGGGCUGGCUGUGCUGCUCUGCCCACAAGCCCCACCCCUUCACCCUGGACACUUCCUGGUUUUUCCCUGUGAAAUCUUUUUCUCUCCAACUGAAAGCUUGGAGACGGUUUAGGGUAUACCUGCCUUCUAUCUUCCUAGGUUGCUGGCCUCCUGAAUAAAGCUUCUUUCUUUUCCCACCAGUUCUUGUGUCUCUUGAACAUUGACUUUUGAGUGAGAGCAGCUGAACCUGAGUUCAUUUCCAGCCCCUCUGGUAACCUCAGGAACUAUGAACAAAGUUUAAAAAGUAAUCCAGUAUGGAAAGAUAUGCAAGUUACAUUGAACAAAAAUGACAGAAGUUGCCAAACAAUAUGUAUGACAGAAUAUGUGUG